rnacentral:rRNA from 1 species
GACGAACGCUGGCGGCGUGCUUAACACAUGCAAGUCGAGCGGUAAGGCCCUUUCGGGGGUACGACGAGCGGCGAACGGGUGAGUAACACGUGGGUGACCUGCCCUCAGCUCUGGGAUAAGCCUGGGAAACCGGGUCUAAUACUGGAUAUGACUCCAUGACGCAUGUUGUGGGGUGGAAAGCCUUGUGCGGCUGAGGAUGGGCCCGCGGCCUAUCAGCUUGUUGGUGGGGUGANGGCCUACCAAGGCGACGACGGGUAGCCGGCCUGAGAGGGCGACCGGCCACACUGGGACUGAGACACGGCCCAGACUCCUACGGGAGGCAGCAGUGGGGAAUCUUGCGCAAUGGGCGAAAGCCUGACGCAGCGACGCCACGUGAGGGAUGACGGCCU